rnacentral:rRNA from 1 species
AUGUGCCUCAUCAGAGGUGCUGCUUGCGCAGGUCCCGCCUGGCCAUGUCGCGCACCAUCCCACAUUCUGAGCACAUGCUCACUAGCUGAGCUAUUCUCCUCCAUCUUGUUUGAUAUGACCAUGUCCAUAACUCACACUAUUAAUCCAGUAGUCGUUCAAGUGGUCAAUGAUGUUUCCAUUGUAGAAGUUACAUGCAUGCAUACUAUGCCAUUGAUAAGGAUGCACUCACGUAAAGAUGGAAAGAGGGUGUUGAACAUGCAUGCAUUACCCAAGGAGAUGUGUAUGUGCGUGCAUGCAUGGAUGUAUUCCUACACUAGCACGUUUGGUCAAUUCUCAUUUGGGCCAGAGAUUAGGAGGAGCAUGUGUAUCCACGAGGGAGGAGUCCUGUUCGCUGCUAACAGCCAGGAAGGAGUCCUGGUCGAGUAUUACUUCGGUUGGGUACGGCCACCAGAAUCAGAUCGUUCGAAGAAAAUACUAGGAGAUUGUAUUUCCUAUUUCUGUUACACGAGACCACCAAAAUUACAGGUGUAUGUCUACAGGUUUUUAUGGUGGAGAUUAUUAUCCUUGAAGACGCUUGGUUGGGGUCCACCUACAGAUUUUACGAGAAGGCAUAUCAGCAACGAAAAAGAGAAUCCUAGUGUUGUUUAG